GUCCUAGCCUAACGAUGGAUGCUUGGUGUAGCGGUACCCAAUCCCGCUGUGCCGGAGCUAACGCGUUAAGCAUCCCGCCUGGGAGUACGGUCGCAAGGCUGAACUCAAAGGAAUUGACGGGCCCGCACAAGCGGUGGAGCAUGUGGUUCAAUUCGACGCAACGCGAAGAACCUUACCUGGGCUCGAAGCGCAGUGGAUAGGAGUGGAAACACUCUUUCCCGCAAGGGCUGCUGCGUAGGUGCUGCAUGGCUGUCGU
rnacentral:rRNA from 1 species